rnacentral:rRNA from 1 species
UACCAGUUGUCGUGCCAACGGCAUAGCUGGGUAGCUAUGUGUGGACGGGAUAAGUGCUGAAAGCAUCUAAGCAUGAAGCCCCCCUCAAGAUGAGAUUUCCCAACUUCGGUUAUAAGAUCCCUCAAAGAUGAUGAGGUUAAUAGGUUCGAGGUGGAAGCAUGGUGACAUGUGGAGCUGACGAAUACUAAUCGAUCGAAGACUUAAUCAAAUU